UACGUAGGGUGCGAGCGUUAAUCGGAAUUACUGGGCGUAAAGCGUGCGCAGGCGGUUCGCUAAGACCGAUGUGAAAUCCCCGGGCUUAACCUGGGAACUGCAUUGGUGACUGGCGGGCUAGAGUAUGGCAGAGGGGGGUAGAAUUCCACGUGUAGCAGUGAAAUGCGUAGAGAUGUGGAGGAAUACCGAUGGCGAAGGCAGCCCCCUGGGCCAAUACUGAUGCUCAUGCACGAAAGCGUGGGGAGCAAACAGG
rnacentral:rRNA from 1 species